rnacentral:lncRNA from 1 species
UCCCCACCACAUCUCUUUUCUUUCUUUCUAACCCAAACAGAUCCCAUCAUCCUCUCUUACCCUAGCCUCCAUUCUUCAGCCUCCCCUUACCAUCUACACAAUUCUAGCUCAGGCUCCUCUUCCGCUGUCCAAGUCCGCCAAGUUCGUUGGUGGCAAGCAGAAGAAGAAUUGAAGAUUUUGAAAGAAAAAUGAAAACCCACGCAGAUCUAAAAUCUUUAGCUCUCAAACUUGAUUUUCUUUGAGAAAUAACCACUAAUUUUGAAAGAUUUUGAAGUCUGAAAUUCGGAUCAGCAUUAUUACAACUUUGAAGUCUCGGAUCUAAAAUUGGGUGUAUCUUGUCUGGGUAUUAAAUUCAGAAUCGUUUGCAUAAAGUUGUAUUACAUGCUGCAACAACUCGAAGUUGGAAUAAAAAAUUAUAACCAUACAGUAAUUUGUAUUGACAUUGUAUAAUAAUGUAUAAUUAUGUAUAUGAAAGCAUAAAUACCUCUUAUACAGUAUUAUAGAUGUUUAUACAAGUUGCUAUAUUGUUUUCAGUUAGUGUAGCGUUGGGCACAGUGUUC